UAACAAGGACACCUGUUGUCUGAAUAACGGAAAAAGAAAACAAACAAUAAUUAAUUUAUAUUUAUUUUUCCCCCUCUCAAAACACCCAAAACCUAGCAGUAAACCCGAGUUCCCUCCCUUAGCUAAAAAUUAGGGUUGACUCUCCCUCCCAAAUUGCUCUCGGCCUCCCUCCGACUGACCAUCGCUCUCACCCUUAAUCCCCCUCACCCUCUCAACCUCACCGACCCUCUCAAACUCACCGACCGUAGCUCUCCACCUCGCUCUCACUCGAUCUCAGCGGGUUUUUCUUACUUCAAGCUCUGAUACAACAAGGCCCAGUAUAUAAUUUGUAGAAGUAAGGAGAGAAACGAAGAAGGAACAGAUCGGCAAACUAAUUGCAGACCCACUUAGGCAACGAUUAAAGCAGAGAGAAGAAGACUCUAGGAGCAACUGGAGUUCAAGAAAGCUGUCAAAGGCGCAAAUCAAGUUCUGUUCAUUGCUUCUGGAGACGACGAUACGAUUAAGUGCAAUUUGGUGGGCUUAACUCUCCUCUCCAUUUUGCUGCAGCUAAAGGGCACAACGAGAUUAUUUCAUUGCUUUUGGAGAAUGGAGCUGAUGUAAACUCCAGAAAUUACUGUGGGCAAGGAACGUUGGUCGAUAUAUAAAGAUAUUAGUGUAGAAGAAGGUCAGCUGGUGUUGGUGGGCUAAAUUAAGCUUGCUUUCCUUAAGGUAUGUCUCCUUGUUUCUUCUUUGAACAUGACCUUAUAAAUUGGACUCAUGCCUUGUAGUUUGCUGCUUGUGGUUGUGAGUUAUGUGAUGUAUAUAUGCCUUGUGGUUUGCUGGUUGUGCUUUUGAGUUAUGUGAUGUAUAUAUGCCACACAUUAAUGCCUAGGGAUGUUAAUUCUAUAAAUGGUUUACAA